UACGUAGGGACCGAGCGUUGUCCGGAAUCAUUGGGCGUAAAGAGCGUGUAGGCGGCCACUUAAGUCCUGCGUGAAAUCUUGCGGCUCAACCGCAAGCGGUCGUGGGAAACUGGGUGGCUAGAGUGCGGGAGAGGAGAGUGGAAUUCCUGGCGUAGCGGUGGAAUGCGCAGAUAUCAGGAAGAACACCCGUGGCGAAGGCGGCUCUCUGGAACGCAACUGACGCUGAGACGCGAAAGCGUGGGGAGCAAACAGG
rnacentral:rRNA from 1 species